AAGGAGCUAAUUAGGGAGCUGCAUGGAGACUGAGACCUGCUUAAAGUCUUACCUCCCGUUUGGCCUCUGCUGGCAGGCCUCCCCAAAUGGCAGAGGAAGAUCGCUCCGUGGCCUUGCUGAGCUUGGCCAGAAGCAGCUGGUGGGAUGCAGAGAGCAGAUCCUCUGAGAGGCAGUCAUUAGGAGCGAACAAUGCUAAUUCGUGUUGCGAGCCAAAUUAUUUGAAAACUAGGAAGAAAUUCAAAUGUUUUUAACUGUGCUUUUGGAAAUAUGGCAAGAAUACUUGACUUCUGAUGAUGAUGAUCUCCAGAGGUCCCUUCCAACCCCAACGAGUCUGUGAUCCUGUGAUUGUGCAAACUUCUUUGCAGUUUUCCCUUGAACUUUAGGAAUGGUCAGUGCUUUCUGUUAAUCCUCUCUUGGACUGCAAAAAUACUUCAGUACACUGUAACCAUUUGCUUUCAAGAUAUUGUUUUAUUGUCAGUAACAGUAAAUUUUUUAAUUUGUUAAAGAAACAGAUGUGGUUGUUAGGAAUUGCGCUAUAGCUCUCCGUGUAACUGAGGACCCCUUGCCUUCCUGCUUUUGAUCCAAACACUUAUCACAGUCAUGCCCAAACUUUUCUCCAGCAGGAGAAAUGCUACCAUGAGGUUGGAAAUUUUUAUGAUCCCUGUUUUACUUAGGGGAAGUAAUGUCUUAGAGAGACUGAUUAUGUAUUGGAUAAGGAAAAAGCAUUCUGCAAUAGGAUUAUGAGCUGAAGCCAGAAUUCCCUGAGUCUUAAAGUCUGCUAUUCAACCAAAAGCUCUUCUUGAAAACAUGAAGUGUGUUUACAAUGAUUUGGUGGAAUCAGGAUGUUGUAAUAGCUGUGUACAUUCUGUAAAUGUGAUUUCACACAUUUCCACUAGAUUUAGAACCAUUAUAAAUUAUCGUUUUUCAUGUUCAUUUUGACAAUUGAACUGUGGAAGUUAAUCCAAUGUGUUUUUCUUUUUUAUUCACUCAAUUGUUGCAGUCAGAUUCUUAAGGUCAGGACAAAUUGAGUUGAGUGUGAGGGGUAAGAUGUGUGAUACAGUUCGGUAUAUCUAGUCCAGAAAUAUUAAAAAGCCACAUUUAUUAGGUCAGCAGCUCCAGACUUCUGAGACAAAAAUGGAUAAACGUUGAGGUAAGGUGCUUUAAAUUGUGCUUAAAUAACUGAAGAUUGCUAUUGGAAAAACACAAAAGCAAGAUGGGAGGGGGCUAUUUAAUUCUAUACAGCUACUUUACUGACAAGGUGAAAAAUAUCUUGAUGUGAAAAACUAGCUACAUAUGCUUAAUUUGAAAUUUGUAAUUAUAUGCAGAAUUUGAAGGUCAAAUCUACAUUUCUCAGAGGAAAUAAAGUCAUAUAAUCAGUAGAAGAGAAGAGCUGACUGUGUUAACCUUGAAUGUAUUUGCCUUAGAGGAUUUUGAACAGAUUGACUAAACUUUAAUGACAUGUAUGAUUUCAUUGUGUCUUCGGAGAAUACUGCUAUUUUAUAGCCUUUGUGUUUAUUUCUUGCCCCAAAAAUAAGCACAGAGGGAUUUGUUUUGAAUGUGGGAAAAUGUGGACUUCAGGAAAGUAAAGAAGGUAUUUUGGUAGCAGACAAUGUAUUCCUUCUGUGUAAAAAAAAUGCAUUUGUUUGUGGAUAAAGAGUUGUUUCUAUUAGAAAGUUUUGCCUGAAGACAGGAAAAUAAUGUACGGAGAGAUACUUCUGAGCGUGUAGAUAACUGAUGUUCUAAUCUGAUGGCCAGUUUUAACAUACGGUUUCAUUCAAUGCAUGAGGUAACUAGCAAUACCGUUUCUUGGAAGAGAUGCUGGUUCACUCUUAUGGCAUUUACUGGCAUAAACUCAGCCAGUGUUUAGAUAUGUGAGUAGGUGUCCUGAUUUCCUAGAAACAGUGAGGCCCAAGUAAAAGGCCUAAUGACCACCUUGAGAAUUCAGAUGUAUGUGUUUGCACAGUAAAUGUUAGUCAGAUUUCAAGGUGUUGGUCUUUCUUCUGUAGGUUUUCUCUCUGUACACUUUUCUUUAUCUUCCGACUCCGAUGAAUUUAUCUUCCAUGUUUGCUUGUUGAACAGGAUUGUUGAAAUGAUCCUCUUUUCCCCGUUCCGAUUAGUUGUGGCCUUGUUUGAGAGAAAAAGCUCAAAGAGGCAGACACUGGCUUUGUCCAAGGGGGCAUGUCCAUGCUGUGAUCACAAGAGGGGCAGCAGUUGUUUGUGUUAAACUGGGCAGCUCAAGUACUGAUAACAGAGUUUUUAGCCCAGCUCAGCCUAACAUGCCCAUGGAAAAAUAGAAUAUCAGACAACACUAAUGUACACCCCACUGGAGGCAGGUCGUGGAAGAAGUGUAGGGGUUCAAGAGGAAAAGUAAGGGGUGCUGCCUCUCCAGUGGUGUAAAACCAAUACUAACUCACCAGAUUCCCAGUUCUAAGGAGCAUAACAGCUACUUCGGCAGUUUGCUGAGAGGUAAAGGGCUGUCACUGAACAGGCAUCCCUGUAUUUUUGUUAUCCUCAGGCUCCAGAAUGGCUUCUUGGUAUCACUGUCAGCCUUUUCAAGGUCAGGCAUACAAUGUAGCUUCUCUAACUGGUGUUUGGUGUUAGGCUCUAGAGAGCAUGAAUAUUUUUCUCUUUCUUAUUCCUUGCUUGUAGAUGAUUGUGCAAAUCUGAACAGUAGAUUCUGGCCUAAGAACUGUAUUUCAGCCUUUUCUACGUUUAUCCUGAUGUUGAAAUGUGAAAUGAGCUGGGAGAGAGAUGGGUUGAGAUACAGGAGCAAAAGAAAAGAGAGAUGUCAGAAGUGGAAAGACAUGUAGGAUUUGCAGAUAGUAGUCAAAGCCAUGUUAGUGGUUGAGGUCACUCAUUGAAAAACUUGUAGUUCCUAUAAAGAUAGGAAUUGUCUCUAUGACUCAGAAAUGUUAUAUUAGCAGAGUUUUUUAAAUAUAGUACAUGAAAGUCUUUUUUUUUCAUGCUAUCUCUAAAGGAUCUAUCAUUGUAUGCAUACAAAUGAAGCAGCCUAAAAUGAGACAGUGAUUAAAGCUUUAAAUUAAAUGGCUUAUAUAUACACACAGAAAAAGGAAAACGAUUUUUUUAAUAACUAUUUUCCAGUAUUUGUAGCUACAGUAACGAAAAAGAUAUAAUUGAAUGAAUUGGUCAACAGAGUAAAAAUGUUUACUAUAGCUCAGCUACUUGGUGUUUUCCGCAAUGAGUUUCUAAACUAGUGUAGUUUAAGAUUAUAAGAAUUUUUUUGUUAUUAUUUUCUCUUGCCUUUUUUUUUUUUUUUUUUUAAUUGCAAUGAGCCCACAAAAUCGAAACUUCUAUGAGCUUGCUAUAAAAUACACAAACCUAUGCUAAAAGAGAGAUGUACCUUAGACUCCAUGAAGCCCACUAAGGAUUUAGGUCCUGAGAGGGUUGGACUAAAACCAACAAGAGGCUGGGGAGACAUUUGUAGGUUUAGAGAUACGUUCCUUGGAGACAUCAGAAGACCAGGUCACGUUGCAGAAUGCCUAAUGCAGAGUUGGUGCCUACCCAUUCUGUACGAUGAGUGGAAACAUUUAAUGAUAGGAUUUACAACACCUAGCAAGCUUGAGCACCUGUGUGCUUAGACCACCUGUGUGACCUGGACCACUAAAUGAAGAUGAAGCAGUGGAGGUACCUUGAUCAGGGUUAUGUGCCGUUAGUAUGUUGUUCCUGGGAGGGACAUUUACAUGUCUCCAGUGAGCAAUCCAAAAGCCUGAGAUGAGGAACCUCAUUUGCUUAUUUGGGUAUAGAUCCCUGCCUUCCUCUGCUCUUCAAAAAAGAACAGGGGUAACAAGAGAAGACCAAGAAAAAGGUAAUAUUUUUGCUUUUUGCUGUUUGGGGCAUGCAGCUGGGUGUUGGCACUGGUGCUGCUCUCGAGAUACGGAGAGCUGCAGUUUCCAUGAUCCAGCCUGUGAAUGCACACUAGAAAAACCCAGGGGACUAUGAGAGAAGCUCAAAACUUCCUCCCUCCCUCCCUCCUUCCCUCCCAGUUGAAUGCCCUGCUCUGGGAGUUGCAAAAUAGUGCUCUGGAUUUUUGGCUCUCGUUUUCAGCUCAUUACUCCAGCUGCACAGUGACCCAACUUCAGUAGAAGAUGUCAGUGUCUACAUUUUCCUUAGUAGGGUUGCAAGCUACCCAAGCUUAAUUACCUUGUUUUUCUAUCUGAGUUAUUGAAAGAAAGGGAACAGUGGCACAAUUGCCUUCUCUUCCUGACGUAUUUUAAAAGGAAAAUAUUGUCUCCUACUGUUUUGAAAGAAAGGACUUUGAACUCCAGAGAAGCCUCAAAAGUCUAAAUCUUUGGUGGUAGGAGGCUUUUUCAGAAUUAGACACCAAACUCCCCAAAACAAGGGAUCUGAAAUGCUGUCAUCAGUGUUUGCUGUCUGCUACUUGAGCAGGUUUUUGGUUGGUGGUAGUCGUAGAUCACUUUGCCAGGUAGCUGACUUUCCCGAACCACUGUAAGAAGCUUCAGCACCCAACUCGUCUCUCUCUCUCCUGACACAGUGGCUGGGCAUCUGAAGCCAUGGGUGGAAUUGGCUCUGAAAAUUGCUCAGCUUUACAUAUCCGGUACCCAAGCAAGGCAGUAAUGGAAAGUUAUAUAAAACAUACUCUGGGCUGGUUGGUGUGUCCUUUUAGUAACAACUUCUCAGGCAGAGCUAACUUUGUCCAAGGGAACCAGAUAGUUAUCUCAGUCUAUACUGAUGAUUACUACACAUCUUCAAUUAGGUAUUUGGACAAUUAUAACAAAGAACCUCUGUGACCAUCCUGCAUUAAAAGUUCAUUAUCAGCUCUCCCAGCCCAGAGGUACAUGCCGGGGUAGGGACCCACAUUGCAAUUGGUGUCCCCAAAAGAGACUCUCACCCUCAGUAAUUUAGCAUAGCCUUAUAAAUUGUACUGCAUGGCAAGCUGGUGUGCCAUACAUCUGAUUGCAACAAAUAGUAAUUAUAGGCAUGCUUGAAGCAAGACUUUCAUAAAACUGAAUGAAAAGUAUGAUUCAUCUCACAGAAGACCCACCCACCCAUUCAGCCAUUGACAUGUCUGUCGUCUUCUUUUGCUUCUUCUUCUUUUUUUUAAGUUUCAAAGGGAAAUAAGAUGUCUGAAAUAUAAGACCUGCCUGAACAUAUUCCUCUUCAGUAUUUAAAUCAAUUUGUAAAAUAAUAUUUUGAUUAUAAGGUUUCCUAAUUUCUAAAAUGUUAAUAACUCUGUGCAUUUCCACCCAUCUAUUUGUGUAAUAAUCACAAGUAUUGCUCAACGGAUUAAAUCUGAUGUUAGCCUCUGAUAAGGAAGUUUUCAUCAUUUCAACUCAUAUUUGAAUAUAAGUUGCUAGUAUUUGUUAAGUGCUCUAUCUCAAACAGCUUUACAUACGGCUUUAGAGCUGUACAUUAUCUCCAGUUAGUUAAUUUCCUUUUGGAAGGAAUGUGCGAUGUUGUACUGCUAACUAAGAUUUCAGUUAGAAACUCAUUUUUACAUUAUAAUACUCAACCCACUUUAAAUGUUCAAGUAUCCAAUAACUAAAUCUUUGUGAUGUUGCAUUUCAGAAAAGAUGCCUGUGGCUACCUAUGCCAGACAAGUCUGCAGGAUUAAAGUGGGAGUGCAGCGGGGUGGUGCUAAUGCUACUGGUUUAUACCAGUUUUAGUGUGUUAGCGCUGCCUGAUUUCUGUUCCUUUUUCAGGGUUUUAGAUCAGUGUGAGCAUGCUUACCUGAAGGAUUCUAAUUACGUUCUCUAAAUAAAAUUCCCCUGCAUCUUCAAAAGCAUUUUCCAUUAUUUGAUAUGUGUUAUUUGAUUUUUCAUGCAUAGAUGUGCUUUGUUUAAGUGUUACUUAAAUUCUAAAUUUUGUGCGAUCAACAGAGUAGAUAAAAUUCUUCUCAGGACAUUAGCCAUGACAGCAGCAAAAGCAAGCAGGGAUUUCCAUCCUUCAGUGAACUAUGGGUCAACAAGAUCUCUGCUGAACACAGUCAACAAGACUGCCCUCGUGGACCUUAUUUCAUGAUCAGGAUCAUAAUAUACAGUAAAAUUUCCUAUUUAUUGCAAACAAACACACACUCCUUUUGUGAUUUCAUUGAGAAUAGAAAAUAUUUCAUACAUUCCUUAAAAAUUCAGACUUGUCAAAAAUGAAGAAAGGUAUAGUUGGUUAGAUAAUGUACAUUGUAGGAUCAAUUCCCAUGUCAGUGUGCAGAUAGAAUGCACGAUCUAUAUGGCAGCAUGUGAUAUUGUGUAUGAUCAAUACAGAUAUCCCAAAUGCAGCCUGAGUUUACCAAAUCUAGGUGAUCAAAACACCCAGUUAGUCAAAGAUGUUUUCUUGUCUCCAAAAUAAACUCAGCUGUUCUGGAGAGCUGAUUAGUGUGCUUCGGAGACCUGUAAUGAGGAAAAACUUAAUUAUUCAGAUUCAUCAGCUUGCAAAAGUGUUGGAUGAUGCCACAUAAGUCUGCUCAAUCAGCAUUCCAGACCAUGUGCAACCCGAGUGUUUAAUAGUGGUCAUGGUUUGUUUUAGGCAUAUGCUUGAAGGUUAACCCCAAGAUUUUCAGUAAUGUUUUUCAUUUACUGAAGAGAUCCCCUCUUCUAGACAACUGGUUGUUAAUGCUUAUCUGAGAAGCUUCACUUUACAUACUGAACAAAUUGUCAUUAAUUAUGUAGUGUCAUAAAAGUCACUGCCUCUUUGCUAUAUAAAGAUGUGUUCUCUGCCCCAAAAUGCUUGCAGUCCAAGAUAAGUGAGACGAGACAAUGAGAAAGCUGUUAAAGAAAAGGAGGGUGUGGAGUGAGACAAGAGGCAGAUAAGAUAUAAAAGAAGAACUUGCCAGAUAGGACUCCUGCAGGAGUAGGCCGUGAGCGUGCACUAGGACCUUCAGAGAGCUGCCACACCUGCCAAAGCACUGUGUGAUUUACAGAUAAAAAUCACCCACUUCCCCUCUGCUUGGGCAGUGCUGGCUACCUUGAUUGUCAUCGUCGCUUGGUUCCCACUAAGUGUCCCUUUACUGUGUGUGUGUGUGUGUGCGCCCCAUCCCUUACAUGACAAACGCUCUCCAGAAGGACGGGAGCCCCGUGGCUUUCCCUCACUGCCCCCAGAAAUGACUUCUGUUGUCGAAACAGCAGUAAUCCCUGAACUAGUGCUAAACUAAAGCUAAUAAUAUAUCUUUGCUGAUUGAAAGGAACUCUUAAAAUGCUCUGCAAGUACAAACUGUGCGCACAGCUAAUCUGUAGAAACAAGCAUGCUGCUUGGACACCAUCUCUAUCGCUCCACCAUCUGUUAGCUUCACACACCUAUUAUGUUUUGUCUUUAGUGAAGUGUUUCUUGGCUUUUCUAGACAAAGCUGUUUUUAAACUUAAACAGCUUGGCAGCUGGACACAUUUUGCGGCAGUAAAAAUCAGGGAGAAAAGUGGGAGGUGCAUUUGACAGAGAAGGAAGAGAGCGUUCUGAGCCCAAAAGGAACGUACCCCAAAGUAGGCAGCAGAUUUGAAAAUAGCACUGAAGAGGUACAAGAAGACUGAAAGUUGGAAGGAAGAAAGCAAGCCAUUUUUUCCUCCUUUUGACAGAAAUCUGGGGAAUAAUGAACACAGAAGCUCCUCUUUUAUGAAAACUCUAGCCAUCAGAAUUUCCAUUUCUGGCCAUCGUGUAGCUUUCUUUCUGAGGAACACCGGGUAAAAUUCUCAUUGCAUCUUAUCAGUGAGGUACCCCGAGUACCACAAAGUGAAAUCAGAAGUCUUCUCUGAUCAUAGACAGCGUAGCAGGGUCAGAGAGCUCAGGAAAUGACUUUUUGAAGAGUUCUUCCAACAUAUCAACUAGCGUUGUCUUUUACAGGAAAGUAGGCUAAAGUCUUUGAGGGUAAAAAAUAUGACAGAAAUGCCAACCUAUUAUUUUGUCUUUGAAAAAAUAAUGUCAUAUCUGGGUUUCAGCAAAGUGUGUUAGUUUAAAGAAGUUGCUACAGACACCUACUCCAGCUUUCAUUUGUUUUCCGUGAUGGUUAUAAAUUUCUAUAUUGUGCUGUUGAGAUGGCUGCAGUAGUUCUCUGAUGAAAGACUUAUCAGGGAAGAUGCUUGGGGAGUCUGCAGGCCUGUGGAUGCUGCCAGAGCCAGGUAAAAUGUUGGGAAUUUGGAUGUUCCAGCAGGAACCUGUGAACUGCUGAAAACAGUGCAUCUUAGGUGUUCCACAGCACCAGCAGGAGAGGUACUGAAGCAACCACAUAUACAUGCAAAGUAAAUAGUUUGCUCUGCCACUGCAUUAGCAAGGAAACCACUUCAAACAACUCUCUCUACCUAGGGAAAAAUGUAGUAAUAAUAAGCAAUAGCAUAAGUCUCCACUCCUUGCCCCAGAGGUUGUCUACUAAUCCUUAGGAGCCUUUGCACUCUGCAGGCUUCCUUUUUCUAUCCUCGUCACUGCAAAAGUAUUUGUAUGGGUCAGAGGCAUAGUGCAUGUAGAAGGAAAAUAUUGUAGAAAAAAUGAACAGUUCUCCAAUGAAUCCCUUUAUCUGUGAGAAGUAAACAACAAAAAGUUUAUCUUCCUGAAGGGAAACAGAAGCCUGUUAAAAGAAGUUUGAAACCCGUACUGCAUGCGGGUUGCUGGAAGUCCAUUGGGCUGCUACGUCUGGGAGGAAACUGACUGCAGUUGUGAGGGUUUUCUUUUCUUUCAUUUCAAAAGCCUUCUCUGGUUUGAGAUCUCCCCGUAGCUAAUUAAAACAGAAGGCAGAGCGACAUUAGUUAUGCACCAGAGUGGGAGUCAGAAGAUGUAAGCUCAGUUCCCAGCCCUGCUACCGACUUCCUGGGUGACCUUGGAGACCAAAUCCUGAUCUUAGUAUACACAAAGGGAUUGUGUGUUCCUGCUAGAGCUGAUGUGCCAGCCAAAAAGCUGCAAGGGAAGCUAAUAGUUCAUUAAGAGGACAACAGUGAUGUUACUCCAUCCUGGUAAUAAAUAAAACAUUGUAGAGGGAACAGUUUACUGAGGAUUAUUAUAGUGAAGAUCUGUUCAGUGUGCAUAGUGUGUUUUAUGCAGAAUGUCUUCAUACACACACAUGCAAUAUGUCUCUGCCUUAACCUAAAUGAAAACCUUGCAGUUUUGUGAUUGAGCAAUGGCAGAUCUGUAAGUUCCUCUUAAAAAGAAAAAAACAACAUAACUGUGAGCUUUGUUUCUUAACUUGUUUCAAUAUGAUGUUAAGUGUUGUGUGGUGUUAUUUUUUUUUCAUUUUCCCAUGUAUUUUAGCAAAAGAGCACGAUUACAUGAAUAUGACUUACCAGAAACUGAGCAUGUUCUUCGGUGCAAGUGAUAGUUUUCUCAAAGUAAACAACCAGAUAUUGUGCAAUUACUAGAAGAUACUGGUUUCUGUAUUAUAUUUUUUUGCUUUUAGCAUGGAGCUGAGACAUUUGCUAAGAAUGCAUUUGGAAACUACUCAUAGCUGUAGUGACCUGGGGG